rnacentral:lncRNA from 1 species
GACCUUGAACAAAAACCUGUGUAUCCAGGUUUUCCUAUCUAUGAAGUGUGUUCAUUCUUUCUACCUUAUUUGGAAGGUCAUUAUGGAGAUUAAUGAUGGCUUUUCAGGGAUAAGUUCUGUGUAACUUCUUUUACCAGGAGAGCAUGAAUAUGUUGUCCUUCGGUGAAGUUAGCGCGGACUGAAGUGGCUCCACCAGCUACGCUGUCAGCUGUCGCCUCUCACUACACAGGGAGGUUCAGUGGAAAGAUUUUUGGGUGUGUCUGCCCUGUUUCCAGCAAUUUCCUGAGGACGAUCUCUAAAGGAGUCACUGUUUUUAAUUACUCCACGCAAUGCUGUCAGUCUGCAUUUAUUGUUUUUCCCAGGCAGCCACAGCCAAAGAAACAUAUUUGAAGUUGUGUCUCCGUGUGCAUGGGACAUUUCCAGCUGUACCACACAAACUCAAGUGGCAGAUGCUUGGAUAGCCUGCAGCAGCCUCUCCCCAGCUCAUCAUUUCCCUGAAGUGAGCACCAGCACCAGCCCAAUAGACCAACUGUGUUUUAGAAUAUGAGGCCCAGCCUUGACAUUUCCAGUGAAGUAAAGUUGGAAGGGACGACUCAGCGUUGACUAUGAUGUAACGAGAUGCUUCACAGUCAUGCUGAAAGAUGAAAAAUAUUAUACCUCUGGAAGCCUGAGGUUUGGACUUCCUUGUACACAUGCAGAGGAAAGGCUUUGGUGCCGGGAAGUUGAAGAAGGAAGAAAGAAAACCAAAGAGGAAAAAUCAGACAGGCAAACCUGAAAAGAAAAAUGGAGGAAGAGAAAUAAUGGAGGAGGAAUAAUGAGUCCCACUUUUAGGCUCUGCUAAGUAUUCACCCAGACAUCUCACAUAAUUAUAAGGCCUUGCAAUAACUUCUUUUUCCUGAUUUACAAAUUAGAAGAAUAAGGCUCAGAAUUUUUAACUACUUGCUCGGUUUCUUUCUUUCUUUCUUUUUUUUUUUUAAGAUUUUUAUUAUUGGGGAGCCUGAGUGGCUCAGUGGUUGAGCAUCUGCUUUCAGCCCAGGGCGUGAUCCUGGAGACUCGGGAUCUAGUCCCACGUCGGGCUCCCUGCAUGGAGCCUGCUUCUCCCUCUGCCUGUGCCUCUGCCUCUUUCUGUGUCUCUAAUGAAUAAAUAAAUAAAAUCUUAAAAAUUUACUCA